UAUUACCAAGAGGAAUUUUGACAACUGAUCUGCAUGGAGCAAAUUGUCACUUUUACUUACGGAAUAAUCGAGCAGAAUAUUUUUCCGAAAGUAGAGUGACAGCUCCCAUUACUUUGCGUGGGAACCUUACAAAUGCCAAUUUUGUUUUUUGUUCUUUUCAUGUGGAUACUGCUGUAAGAAUUUUGUUUUGAUUCUUUACUUUUCCGAUUCAGUGAACAGAAUUUAACAUGUGAUUGAGAUAGAAAAAGAAAUUUCUUUUGAACACGAUACCAACCUUUUGAAUGAGGAUUUAUCUAGUAUAAUAAUACAUAAUUUGUUAAACUGAUAUUUGGAAUGCGAUGAGCCAAGGCCUCAUUUAGUCGGGCACCUAAACUUGUAGGUGACUCGCAAAAUGGGUUUUGGCAUUGGUGCAGGAAAAUGAUUGCAGUCAAGAAGUUUCAAUUUUCUUUGUUUAAGGAUUUGUGCUAUUAGGAAAGUUGGCUUAUAAGGCAAACGGAUUUAGCAAAAUAAUUAAAUCCCAACUGUGAAUGCUUUACCGAUUUUAUUGUUCCGACUCCCGACUAUUGUAACCCAGAACUGGGGUGUUGUCGCCAGGGAAUCAAUAUUCGAGCAACACCUAACAAUAUACUUUUUGUCAUCACAAGAGUUUGUUACUGACAAACGCACCUCGCAACAAGCCUUUAUAAGAAUCCGAAUACAAUAUGCAUGCUCUGAUAUUUCCGAGAAUACGAUACUGUUUU